rnacentral:rRNA from 1 species
UAGGGAAUCUUCCGCAAUGGACGCAAGUCUGACGGAGCAACGCCGCGUGAGUGAAGAAGGAUUUCGGUUCGUAAAACUCUGUUGUUAGAGAAGAACAGCGCAUAGAGUAACUGUUAUGCGUGUGACGGUAUCUAACCAGAAAGCCACGGCUAACUACGCGCCAGCAGCCGCGGUAAUACGUAGGUGGCAAGCGUUGUCCGGAUUUAUUGGGCGUAAAGCGAGCGCAGGCGGUCAAUUAAGUCUGAUGUGAAAGCCCCCGGCUCAACCGGGGAGGGUCAUUGGAGACUGGUUGACUUGAGUGCAGAAGAGGAGAGUGGAAUUCCAUGUGUAGCGGUGAAAUGCGUAGAUAUAUGGAGGAACACCAGUGGCGAAGGCGACUCUCUGGUCUGUAACUGACGCUGAGGCUCGAAAGCGUGGGUAGCAAACAGG